UGGGGGAUAUUGCACAAUGGGCGAAAGCCUGAUGCAGCGACGCCGCGUGGGGGAUGAAGGCCUUCGGGUUGUAAACUUCUUUUGCUCUGAACAAGGCAUGCCUUUGGGGUGUGUUGAGUGUAGGGGUUGAUUAGCGCCGGCUAACUACGUGCCAGCAGCCGCGGUAAUACGUAGGGCGCGAGCGUUGUCCGGAAUUAUUGGGCGUAAAGGGCUUGUAGGUGGCUGGUUGCGUCUGUCGUGAAAGCUCAUGGCUUAACUGUGGGUUUGCGGUGGGUACGGGCUGGCUUGAGUGCAGUAGGGGAGGCUGGAAUUCCUGGUGUAGCGGUGGAAUGCGCAGAUAUCAGGAGGAACACCGGUGGCGAAGGCGGGUCUCUGGGCCGUUACUGACACUGAGGAGCGAAAGCGUGGGGAGCGAACAGG
rnacentral:rRNA from 1 species